AGCGGCCACAGCUUAAUCGAUAAUCCUUCUCCCUACUGGGCGUAUGGAAUUGUAGUCUUGGCUUUUGAACGGCGCUGGAUGAUGGGUAAUUCGAUGGAAAUCGAGGUCGUAGAGGGUGACAGCCCCGUGUGUCUGUUAUUACGGCGCCAUAGUUCAUUAGUCUACCGAGUAGCGUUCCUUGGGAAUGGAGCGUGAAGUGGGAGGUGAUAUCCUUCUAAAGCUAAAUAUUGGCGAGAGACCGAUAGCGAACAAGUACCGUGAGGGAAAGAUGAAAAGCACUUUGGAGAGAGAGUUAAACAGUAUGCGAAAUCGUUGGAAGCAAGCGAAUCAGUGGGNUUGGGCACGGUUCUGCGUUCUGAGCAUUCGUUGCGUCGUAUGCGCUUUGUUGUGCGUCGACGUGGCUGCCAGUGCUCGGUCGUGGGAUGAGGUUUUGGUGUCCGGCUUCGGCCAGCCUUCUGAUCCGACCCGUCUUGAAACACGGACCAAGGAGUCUAAUAUGUGUGCGAGUGCUCGGGUGUCAAACCCCAGCGCGUAGGUAACCCAAAUCGCGUUAGUCCUUUCNUNNGNCGNANCGCGGGUAGUGUAAUUUACUCCCUAACA
rnacentral:rRNA from 1 species